AUUGAAGAAGUUGAGGUUGAGUGGGACUAAUUUUCCAGUGAAGGUUUUAAGGGUAAUUGGGCAGUUACCGAACCUUAAGGUGCUGAAACUAGAGAAUGCUUUCUAUGGCAGAGUGUGGGAAGUGGUUGAAGGAGAAUUCCCUGAAUUAGAAGAGUUGAUGGUUGAAGCCAGAAGUCUUGAGCGAUGGGUGGCCAAUAUUAGUAAUCCUUUCCCAAGGCUCGAUUACAUAGUCUUAAAACGUUGUUAUUCUCUAGAAGAGAUCCCUCUUGUAAGUGAAAAAGAACACUUUAUGCGGCCAAUUAAGUUGGAGCAAUGUUCUCCUUCUGCUGUCAUUUCUGCGAAGAGGUUUGUCACUUCUGCGAAGAGGUUUAAAAAAGAGACGGGACACCGAUUUUGGGUAGCUGACCACCUUGUUAUUGACGGCAAGGAUGUUUGGGUAUGUUAGUUCCAUCUGUUUCUCUCUCAAUCUUUUGUUUAUUUUCUUUGCAAAAUCUGUUUAAUAUAUAUUUCUUUUUCAAUUCUCACCUGGUUUCAUGUUUCACAGUAUGAUGAUGAAAAAGAGGCCUGGUUCGAAAAAAAAUAACUGCGAAAAAUGGUAUGAUGGACUGGUCGUUAUGAAGCUCAUCUUUGGGAUAAAAGCACCUUGAAUCAAAAUCAAAAUAAGAAGGGAAAACAAGAGCAUAUGAUGAUGAGGAGGCUGCUGCUAGAGCAUAUGAUCUUGCUAAUUUGAAAACACUCAUGAAUUUUC